GCAAGUCGAACGAGAACGGGUCUUAGCUUGCUAAGAUUGUCAGCUAAGUUGCGCACGGGUGAGUAAUAUAUAGUUAACCUGCCCUAGAGAAGGGGAUAACGUUUGGAAACGGACGCUAAUACCCUAUAUGCCUUUAAGACAAAAGUCUGCAAGGGAAAUAUUUAUGGCUCUAGGAGGGGACUGUGCGGUAUCAGUUAGUUGGUGAGGUAAGGGCUCACCAAGACAAUGACACCUAGCUGGUUUGAGAGGAUGAGC
rnacentral:rRNA from 1 species